rnacentral:rRNA from 1 species
AAACGACUGUUAAUACCGCAUAAUAUCUGUGGAUUAAAGGUGGCUUUCGGGCUGUCGCAGAUGGAUGAGCCUGCGUUGGAUUAGCUAGUUGGUGGGGUAAGGGCCCACCAAGGCUACGAUCCAUAGCUGAUUUGAGAGGAUGAUCAGCCACAUUGAGACUGAGACACGGCCCAUACUCCUACGGGAGGCAGCAGUGGGGAAUAUUGGACAAUGGGGGCAACCCUGAUCCAGCAAUGCCAUGUGUGUGAAGAAGGCCCUAGGGUUGUAAAGCACUUUAGUUGGGGAGGAAAGCCUCAAGGUUAAUAGCCUUGGGGAGGACGUUACCCAAAGAAUAAGCACCGGCUAACUCCGUGCCAGCAGCCGCGGUAAUACGGGGGGUGCAAGCGUUAAUCGGAAUUACUGGGCGUAAAGGGUCUGUAGGUGGUUUGUUAAGUCAGAUGUGAAAGCCCAGGGCUCAACCUUGGAACUGCAUUUGAUACUGGCAAACUAGAGUACGGUAGAGGAAUGGGGAAUUUCUGGUGUAGCGGUGAAAUGCGUAGAGAUCAGAAGGGACACCAAUGGCGAAGGCAACAUUCUGGACCGAUACUGACACUGAGGGACGAAAGCGUGGGGAUCAAACAGGAUUAGAUACCCUGGUAGUCCACGCUAUAAACGAUGAGUACUAGCUGUUGGAGUCGGUGUAAAGGCUCUAGUGGCGCAGCUAACGCAAUAAGUACUCCGCCUGGGGACUACGGCCGCAAGGCUAAAACUCAAAGGAAUUGACGGGGACCCGCACAAGCGGUGGAGCAUGUGGUUUAAUUCGAUGCAACGCGAAGAACCUUACCUGGUCUUGACAUCCUGCGAACUUUCUAGAGAUAGAUUGGUGCCUUCGGGAACGCAGUGACAGGUGCUGCACGGCUGUCGUCAGCUCGUGUUGUGAAAUGUUGGGUUAAGUCCCGCAACGAGCGCAACCCCUAUUGAUAGUUACCAUCAUUAAGUUGGGUACUCUAUUGAGACUGCCGCUGACAAGGCGGAGGAAGGUGGGAACGACGUCAAGUCAUCAUGGCCCUUACGACCAGGGCUACACACGUGCUACAAUGGGUAUUACAGAGGGCUGCGAAGGUGCGAGCUGGAGCGAAACUCAAAAAGGUACUCUUAGUC